rnacentral:rRNA from 1 species
GGGUUGUGAGGUUAAGCGACUAAGCGUACACGGUGGAUGCCCUGGCAGUCAGAGGCGAUGAAGGACGUGCUAAUCUGCGAUAAGCGUCGGUAAGGUGAUAUGAACCGUUAUAACCGGCGAUUUCCGAAUGGGGAAACCCAGUGUGUUUCGACACACUAUCCAUUAACUGAAUCCAUAGGUUAAUGAGGCGAACCGGGGGAACUGAAACAUCUAAGUACCCCGAGGAAAAGAAAUCAACCGAGAUUCCCCCAGUAGCGGCGAGCGAACGGGGAGCAGCCCAGAGCCUGAAUCAGUGUGUGUGUUAGUGGAAGCGUCUGGAAAGGCGCGCGAUACAGGGUGACAGCCCCGUACACAAAAAUGCACAUGCUGUGAGCUCGAUGAGUAGGGCGGGACACGUGGUAUCCUGUCUGAAUAUGGGGGGACCAUCCUCCAAGGCUAAAUACUCCUGACUGACCGAUAGUGAACCAGUACCGUGAGGGAAAGGCGAAAAGAACCCCGGCGAGGGGAGUGAAAAAGAACCUGAAACCGUGUACGUACAAGCAGUGGGAGCACGCUUAGGCGUGUGACUGCGUACCUUUUGUAUAAUGGGUCAGCGACUUAUAUUCUGUAGCAAGGUUAACCGAAUAGGGGAGCCGAAGGGAAACCGAGUCUUAACUGGGCGUUAAGUUGCAGGGUAUAGACCCGAAACCCGGUGAUCUAGCCAUGGGCAGGUUGAAGGUUGGGUAACACUAACUGGAGGACCGAACCGACUAAUGUUGAAAAAUUAGCGGAUGACUUGUGGCUGGGGGUGAAAGGCCAAUCAAACCGGGAGAUAGCUGGUUCUCCCCGAAAGCUAUUUAGGUAGCGCCUCGUGAAUUCAUCUCCGGGGGUAGAGCACUGUUUCGGCAAGGGGGUCAUCCCGACUUACCAACCCGAUGCAAACUGCGAAUACCGGAGAAUGUUAUCACGGGAGACACACGGCGGGUGCUAACGUCCGUCGUGAAGAGGGAAACAACCCAGACCGCCAGCUAAGGUCCCAAAGUCAUGGUUAAGUGGGAAACGAUGUGGGAAGGCCCAGACAGCCAGGAUGUUGGCUUAGAAGCAGCCAUCAUUUAAAGAAAGCGUAAUAGCUCACUGGUCGAGUCGGCCUGCGCGGAAGAUGUAACGGGGCUAAACCAUGCACCGAAGCUGCGGCAGCGACGCUUAUGCGUUGUUGGGUAGGGGAGCGUUCUGUAAGCCUGUGAAGGUGUACUGUGAGGUAUGCUGGAGGUAUCAGAAGUGCGAAUGCUGACAUAAGUAACGAUAAAGCGGGUGAAAAGCCCGCUCGCCGGAAGACCAAGGGUUCCUGUCCAACGUUAAUCGGGGCAGGGUGAGUCGACCCCUAAGGCGAGGCCGAAAGGCGUAGUCGAUGGGAAACAGGUUAAUAUUCCUGUACUUGGUGUUACUGCGAAGGGGGGACGGAGAAGGCUAUGUUGGCCGGGCGACGGUUGUCCCGGUUUAAGCGUGUAGGCUGGUUUUCCAGGCAAAUCCGGAAAAUCAAGGCUGAGGCGUGAUGACGAGGCACUACGGUGCUGAAGCAACAAAUGCCCUGCUUCCAGGAAAAGCCUCUAAGCAUCAGGUAACAUCAAAUCGUACCCCAAACCGACACAGGUGGUCAGGUAGAGAAUACCAAGGCGCUUGAGAGAACUCGGGUGAAGGAACUAGGCAAAAUGGUGCCGUAACUUCGGGAGAAGGCACGCUGAUAUGUAGGUGAAGCGACUUGCUCGUGGAGCUGAAAUCAGUCGAAGAUACCAGCUGGCUGCAACUGUUUAUUAAAAACACAGCACUGUGCAAACACGAAAGUGGACGUAUACGGUGUGACGCCUGCCCGGUGCCGGAAGGUUAAUUGAUGGGGUCAGCGCAAGCGAAGCUCUUGAUCGAAGCCCCGGUAAACGGCGGCCGUAACUAUAACGGUCCUAAGGUAGCGAAAUUCCUUGUCGGGUAAGUUCCGACCUGCACGAAUGGCGUAAUGAUGGCCAGGCUGUCUCCACCCGAGACUCAGUGAAAUUGAACUCGCUGUGAAGAUGCAGUGUACCCGCGGCAAGACGGAAAGACCCCGUGAACCUUUACUAUAGCUUGACACUGAACAUUGAGCCUUGAUGUGUAGGAUAGGUGGGAGGCUUUGAAGUGUGGACGCCAGUCUGCAUGGAGCCGACCUUGAAAUACCACCCUUUAAUGUUUGAUGUUCUAACGUUGACCCGUGAUCCGGGUUGCGGACAGUGUCUGGUGGGUAGUUUGACUGGGGCGGUCUCCUCCUAAAGAGUAACGGAGGAGCACGAAGGUUGGCUAAUCCUGGUCGGACAUCAGGAGGUUAGUGCAAUGGCAUAAGCCAGCUUGACUGCGAGCGUGACGGCGCGAGCAGGUGCGAAAGCAGGUCAUAGUGAUCCGGUGGUUCUGAAUGGAAGGGCCAUCGCUCAACGGAUAAAAGGUACUCCGGGGAUAACAGGCUGAUACCGCCCAAGAGUUCAUAUCGACGGCGGUGUUUGGCACCUCGAUGUCGGCUCAUCACAUCCUGGGGCUGAAGUAGGUCCCAAGGGUAUGGCUGUUCGCCAUUUAAAGUGGUACGCGAGCUGGGUUUAGAACGUCGUGAGACAGUUCGGUCCCUAUCUGCCGUGGGCGCUGGAGAACUGAGGGGGGCUGCUCCUAGUACGAGAGGACCGGAGUGGACGCAUCACUGGUGUUCGGGUUGUCAUGCCAAUGGCACUGCCCGGUAGCUAAAUGCGGAAGAGAUAAGUGCUGAAAGCAUCUAAGCACGAAACUUGCCCCGAGAUGAGUUCUCCCUGACUCCUUGAGAGUCCUGAAGGAACGUUGAAGACGACGACGUUGAUAGGCCGGGUGUGUAAGCGCAGCGAUGCGUUGAGCUAACCGGUACUAAUGAACCGUGAGGCUUAACCUUACAACGCCGAAGGUGUUU